rnacentral:rRNA from 1 species
GACGGACGCUGGCGGCGUGCUUAACACAUGCAAGUCGAACGGAAAGGCCCCUUUGGGGGUACUCGAGUGGCGAACGGGUGAGUAACACGUGAGUAACCUGCCCUUGACUUCGGGAUAACUUCAGGAAACUGGGGCUAAUACCGGAUAGGAAUCCUUGCUGCAUGGUGGGGGUUGGAAAGCUUCGGCGGUUUUGGAUGGACUCGCGGCUUAUCAGCUUGUUGGUGGGGUAGUGGCUUACCAAGGCUUUGACGGGUAGCCGGCCUGAGAGGGCGACCGGCCACAUUGGGACUGAGAUACGGCCCAGACUCCUACGGGAGGCAGCAGUGGGGAAUAUUGCACAAUGGGCGGAAGCCUGAUGCAGCAACGCCGCGUGCGGGAUGACGGCCUUCGGGUUGUAAACCGCUUUCAGCAGGGGCGAAGCUUUUGUGACGGUACCUGCAGAAGAAGCACCGGCUAACUACGU